CGGGGUGAGUAACGCGUGAGGAACCUGCCUUUCAGUGGGGGACAACAGUUGGAAACGACUGCUAAUACCGCAUAACGUACGGGUAUCGCAUGGUAUCUGUACCAAAGAUUUAUCGCUGAGAGAUGGCCUCGCGUCUGAUUAGCUAGUUGGUAGGGUAACGGCCUACCAAGGCGACGAUCAGUAGCCGGACUGUGAGGUUGGCCGGCCACAUUGGGACUGAGAUACGGCCCAGACUCCUACGGGAGGCAGCAG
rnacentral:rRNA from 1 species